rnacentral:sRNA from 1 species
AGAAGGUGUUUGAUGGAAUGCUUGAUCCACUAGUUCCUAAGAUAUUUGUA